UACGGAGGGUGCAAGCGUUGUUCGGAAUUACUGGGCGUAAAGCGCGUGUAGGCGGUUUGGUAAGUCAGAUGUGAAAGCCCUGAGCUCAACUCAGGAAGUGCAUUUGAAACUGCCAUACUCGAGUAUGGGAGAGGAGAGUGGAAUUCCCAGUGUAGAGGUGAAAUUCGUAGAUAUUGGGAGGAACACCCGUGGCGAAGGCGACUCUCUGGACCAAUAAUGACGCUGAGACGCGAAAGCGUGGGGAGCAAACAGG
rnacentral:rRNA from 1 species